GACGAACGCUGGCGGCGUGCCUAAUACAUGCAAGUUGAGCGCUGAAGGUUGGUACUUGUACCAACUGGAUGAGCAGCGAACGGGUGAGUAACGCGUGGGGAAUCUGCCUUUGAGCGGGGGACAACAUUUGGAAACGAGUGCUAAUACCGCAUAAAAACUUUAAACACAAGUUUUAAGUUUGAAAGAUGCAAUUGCAUCACUCAAAGAUGAUCCCGCGUUGUAUUAGCUAGUUGGUGAGGUAAAGGCUCACCAAGGCGAUGAUACAUAGCCGACCUGAGAGGGUGAUCGGCCACAGUGGGACUGAGACACGGCCCAAACUCCUACGGGAGGCAGCAGUAGGGAAUCUUCGGCAAUGGACGAAAGGCUGACCGAGCAACGCCGCGUGAGUGAAGAAGGUUUUCGGAUCGUAAAACUCUGUUGGUAGAGAAGAACGUUGGUGAGAGUGGAAAGCUCAUCAAGUGACGGUAACUACCCAGAAAGGGACGGCUAACUACGUG
rnacentral:rRNA from 1 species